AGUGAACGCUGGCGGUAGGCCUAACACAUGCAAGUCGAACGGCAGCACAGUAAGAGCUUGCUCUUACGGGUGGCGAGUGGCGGACGGGUGAGGAAUACAUCGGAAUCUACUUUUUCGUGGGGGAUAACGUGGGGAAACUUACGCUAAUACCGCAUACGACCUACGGGUGAAAGCAGGGGAUCUUCGGACCUUGCGCGAUUGAAUGAGCCGAUGUCGGAUUAGCUAGUUGGCGGGGUAAAGGCCCACCAAGGCGACGAUCCGUAGCUGGUCUGAGAGGAUGAUCAGCCACACUGGAACUGAGACACGGUCCAGACUCCUACGGGAGGCAGCAGUGGGGAAUAUUGGACAAUGGGCGCAAGCCUGAUCCAGCCAUACCGCGUGGGUGAAGAAGGCCUUCGGGUUGUAAAGCCCUUUUGUUGGGAAAGAAAAGCAGCAGGUUAAUACCCCGCUGUUCUGACGGUACCCACAGAAUAAGCACCGGCUAACUUCGUG
rnacentral:rRNA from 1 species